rnacentral:rRNA from 1 species
GCGGCGGACGGGUGAGUAAUGUCUGGGAAACUGCCUGAUGGAGGGGGAUAACUACUGGAAACGGUAGCUAAUACCGCAUAACGUCGCAAGACCAAAGUGGGGGACCUUCGGGCCUCAUGCCAUCAGAUGUGCCCAGAUGGGAUUAGCUAGUAGGUGGGGUAAUGGCUCACCUAGGCGACGAUCCCUAGCUGGUCUGAGAGGAUGACCAGCCACACUGGAACUGAGACACGGUCCAGACUCCUACGGGAGGCAGCAGUGGGGAAUAUUGCACAAUGGGCGCAAGCCUGAUGCAGCCAUGCCGCGUGUGUGAAGAAGGCCUUCGGGUUGUAAAGCACUUUCAGCGGGGAGGAAGGCGUUAAGGUUAAUAACCUUGUCGAUUGACGUUACCCGCAGAAGAAGCACCGGCUAACUCCGUGCCAGCAGCCGCGGUAAUACGGAGGGUGCAAGCGUUAAUCGGAAUUACUGGGCGUAAAGCGCACGCAGGCGGUCUGUCAAGUCGGAUGUGAAAUCCCCGGGCUCAACCUGGGAACUGCAUUCGAAACUGGCAGGCUAGAGUCUUGUAGAGGGGGGUAGAAUUCCAGGUGUAGCGGUGAAAUGCGUAGAGAUCUGGAGGAAUACCGGUGGCGAAGGCGGCCCCCUGGACAAAGACUGACGCUCAGGUGCGAAAGCGUGGGGAGCAAACAGGAUUAGAUACCCUGGUAGUCCACGCCGUAAACGAUGUCGAUUUGGAGGUUGUGCCCUUGAGGCGUGGCUUCCGGAGCUAACGCGUUAAAUCGACCGCCUGGGGAGUACGGCCGCAAGGUUAAAACUCAAAUGAAUUGACGGGGGCCCGCACAAGCGGUGGAGCAUGUGGUUUAAUUCGAUGCAACGCGAAGAACCUUACCUGGUCUUGACAUCCACAGAACUUUCCAGAGAUGGAUUGGUGCCUUCGGGAACUGUGAGACAGGUGCUGCAUGGCUGUCGUCAGCUCGUGUUG